rnacentral:tRNA from 1 species
UAUUCUGUGGCUUAGUUGGUUAAAGCGUCAGUCUAGCGAAUACGGAGUCGUGGGUUGGAAUCCCACCAAAACAC